GUGGCGACGAUGCGUAGGGGUUCUGAGAGGAAGGUCCCCCACACUGGUACUGAGACACGGACCAGACUCCUACGGGAGGCAGCAGUGAGGAAUAUUGGUCAAUGGGAGAGAUCCUGAACCAGCCAAGCCGCGUGAGGGAAGACGGCCCUAUGGGUUGUAAACCUCUUUUGUCGGAGAACAAAACCCGGGACGUGUCCCGGACUGCGUGUAUCCGAAGAAAAAGCAUCGGCUAACUCCGUGCCAGCAGCCGCGGUAAUACGGAGGAUGCGAGCGUUAUCCGGAUUUAUUGGGUUUAAAGGGUGCGUAGGCGGUCUGUUAAGUCAGCGGUAAAAUUGCGGGGCUCAACCCCGUCGAGCCGUUGAAACUGGCAGACUUGAGUUGGCGAGAAGUACGCGGAAUGCGCGGUGUAGCGGUGAAAUGCAUAGAUAUCGCGCAGAACUCCGAUUGCGAAGGCAGCGUACCGGCGCCAGACUGACGCUGAGGCACGAAAGCGUGGGGAUCGAACAGGAUUAGAUACCCUGGUAGUCCACGCAGUAAACGAUGAAUGCUGGUUGUCCGGGUCGAAUGAGACCUGG
rnacentral:rRNA from 1 species